AUUUAAAUAGCUCAAAACUAAAGAGUGUAACAUUGAAGAUGUUGAGGUAGUAAGUUUACUUUUAAAUA
rnacentral:tRNA from 1 species